rnacentral:rRNA from 1 species
GAUGAACGCUAGCUACAGGCUUAACACAUGCAAGUCGAGGGGUAGCAGGGUAGCAAUACCGCUGACGACCGGCGCACGGGUGAGUAACACGUAUCCAACCUUCCCAUAACUCGGGGAUAGCCUUUCGAAAGAAAGAUUAAUACCCGAUAGUACUUAUAUAGGGCAUCCUACAUAAGUUAAAGAUUUAUUGGUUAUGGAUGGGGAUGCGUUCCAUUAGAUAGUUGGUGAGGUAACGGCUCACCAAGUCUUCGAUGGAUAGGGGUUCUGAGAGGAAGGUCCCCCACAUUGGUACUGAGACACGGAACAAACUCCUACGGGAGGCAGCAGUGAGGAAUAUUGGUCAAUGGGCGAGAGCCUGAACCAGCCAAGUAGCGUGAAGGAUGAAGGUCCUAUGGAUUGUAAACUUCUUUUAUAGUAGAAUAAAGUGAUCCACGUGUGGAUUUUUGUAUGUAUACUAUGAAUAAGGAUCGGCUAACUCCUUGCCAGCCGCCGCCGUAA